rnacentral:other from 1 species
CGCCGCCUGCGGUGUUCGACAUGUGUCGGGUUACCUCUCGACCCUAACGUAAAUACCCAGGGGCUCGGCCUAGCGAUGGCGGUGUGCAAGUCCGUUUUGGGCGGGAAGCCUUAGCUGUCGUGGCUGUGUCCCACCUUAUUGCUCCGUGUCGAGAGCAAUGGCUCAUGACGGCACAUGCGGGUGGCGC